UUUCCAGGUGUGUGUCUUUGGGCAGCCAUUUGGACGAGGGGUUGAAAUAGGCGAGCACGCCCGCGGUGUUCAGUGAGGGAAGUGAUGACGUCACCAAUGAAGGAACGACAACCAGGAGCCGCUAGAUUAUGAUCGCGUACGCCGGCGCUCUGUCCUCGGAUCCAUGGAGCCGAAAUGACAUGGUAAGUGGCCG